CUUGUGGACUGUUAUAUCAAAUGGAAGUAGAUUUUAUAUUUUAUGAUAUAAGGACAAAACCAGACAGGUUGAAGCAAGAA
rnacentral:ncRNA from 1 species